GGAUGUGAGGGCAAUCUGGUUGUGACAUCUCUCACCCCAUUGAUUGCCAAGGUUGAUUCAGCUGAUCUGGAUGGCUAGGUGGGUGUCCUCUUCCUCCCUUACCACCCCAUGUGCAUCCUCCCAAAGCUGCACGCUUGGUGGAAGAGGAUGACCAUCCCCGAUAAAGAAGGACUGAUCUUCGGUCGAGGGUAUAAGAGUAACCGUGCUUCCCUGCUAGAACCUCCAAACAAGCUCCCAAGUUUGUUAUGCAGACUCAAUUCAGUGUCAUAUCCAGUGAUGAUAGUCUGGUGGUUAAAAAUUGUUUUCCUCGUGGCUCAUGACUGUAAUCCCAG
ensembl:misc_RNA 7SK 7SK RNA